AGAGGUGAAAAGUCCAUAGCUAAGUGGUACAGUAUAUGCUUUGCUUGUGUAAGGUUUUGGGUUCAAUCCCCAGCAUCUCUU